UACGUAGGGUGCGAGCGUUAAUCGGAAUUACUGGGCGUAAAGCGCGCGUAGGCGGCCGACCAAGUCAGGUGUGAAAGGCCCGAGCUCAACUUGGGAACUGCACUUGAUACUGGUUGGCUCGAGGCCGGGAGAGGGUAGUGGAAUUCCCAGUGUAGAGGUGAAAUUCGUAGAUAUUGGGAAGAACACCAGUGGCGAAGGCGACUGACUGGACAAGUAUUGACGCUGAGGUGCGAAAGCGUGGGGAGCAAACAGG
rnacentral:rRNA from 1 species